AAAUCCCCUCGCUACUGAACAAAAACCCUGCACCUUUUAUCAUGGAUGUUUUUGAAUAUGAUGCUGAACACACUGCUGCCAGACACCUGCUAAUGUGGUCUGAUUUUUGUUUGACACAAUUAUAUUUGAUCAAUAGUUAAUGCAGCAGUUAAUUUAUUUAGUUUUUUUUUACAUUUUUGUGUAUUAGACUCAAACCAGACAAUUGGAAUUUCUAAUGUGAGGAAAUAAAUUAAGAGCAACACAUCUUCAGGGGAAUCAGGUGAAUGGCAGACUGUAUAUAAAUGAUCCACAUGGAGCCACUCCUCUUGUCUAUGUUCACUUCCUCUUUAAACCAGACUAACUUCUACCUCCACUUUUCAUUCAUGACUUUAGAUAAACUCAGAUCUCAUCAUGAUGAUUAGAUUUCUCUUUUGCUCUUUCCUCACAGCAGGUAUCUCUCUGGGGGUUCAGGUCCACCAGUCUCCCUCCGCUCUCAUCAGAAAGGCUGGUGAUGCUGUGCAGCUCGUCUGUACCCACAGACA